rfam:TPA: Bos taurus chromosome 12, whole genome shotgun sequence.
UCCCUGGUGGCUCAGACGGUAAAGAAUCUGCCUGCAAUGCAGGAGACCUAGGUUCGAUCCCUGGGUCGGGAA